CGCUGGUUUCAAGUGCCUCUGUACUUUUAGAGCGACUCCUAAGAGCUGCAUUUCAUGUGGGUAAAAAGGUUUUUGAUAUUGAUGUUUGCAAACCUAUUGUUUCUCUGUUUAUGCUGCAGUGACUCGAAUGAUAGUAGGCAGGCCGCAGGAAUAGGAAUAGAAUUUAUUGUUAAGCAAAAGAAAUUGAAAGGGAAAAGAUUGUAAAGAGAUUCUGGGUCAAAUGACGGAUUCAGCUAGAUGAUCAAAGCGGGUAUGUAUGUUAUUCAUCUCCACACUAGCAAAUCACGUAUGUACUUUUGCUAAAAUUCAGGGUUGAUUUAUGUUAUAUGAUCAUGAUCAUGGGCAAUUAUCUGUUUUUCAAAUUUUGAAGUUAUAGCAGGGAAUUACUGUGCAACGGGUUAAAGAGGAAAAAGUGUGAUGAGAAACACAAUCUUUUGGAGAGACUCCUAGGAGCUGCAUUUCAUGUGGGUAAAAAAGUUUUUGAUAUUGAUGUUUGCAAACAUACUGUUUCUCUGUUUUUGCUGCAGUGACUCGAAUGAUAGUAGGCAGGAUUAGGAAUAGAAUUUAUUUUUAAGCAAAAGGAAUUGAAAGGGAAAAGAUUGUGAAG
rnacentral:lncRNA from 1 species